CGCGCCCAUCAGACUAGAGAGACUGGGCGCCGUUAGAAAACUCGCACUUUUUAAGGAACUUUCCAGAAGCAGGCAGGAGUCAAAAGGGGAGGAGACGUCUGUUGGAUUGAUCAGAAUUAAGUGAGUAACUCUUGGCCACUCUACAUCCCGGCGAAACGGACGGCUGAAACAUCACUGCUCACUGUGCCUGAGAGUGUGUUCCUUCCUCACUGGGGGGCACUCGUCUGCUUUAACCUUGGCCACUGCCUUCGAACUCCAACUGGAACUACACCACCAGCUUUCCUGGGCUUCCAGCUUGCAGACUGCAAGAUCCUGGGACUUCUGUCUCCAUAAUCAUCGUGGCUUGAUGAGUGGUGCUCGGUCUACACACGGGAUCCGAACCUGCAAACCUGGGGCUGCUGAAGUGGAGCACUCGAACUUAACCACUACACCAGCAGGCCAGCCCCAUAAAUCUUUUUCUAUAUAUCUGUAUCUAUAUCUAUUGUUGUUAGUGCCGUCCAGUCAAUUUCAACUCCUAGUGACCCUGUGUACAGCAGAGCAGAACCCUGCUUGGUCUUUUUGAGCCAUCCUCUUACCUUCUGGCACUAUAUCAGACAAUGCACCACUACUAUUCACAGGAUUUUCAUGGCCAAUUCUUUUGGACGUUGGUGGCCAGGUCCUUCUUCCUAGUCUGUCUUAGCCUGGAAGCUCCGCUGAAACCUGUCCACCAUGGUUGACCCUGCUGGUAUUUGAAAUACCAGUGUCAUAGCUUUCAGCAUCACAGCAACAUCCAGCCACUGCAGUAUGACAACCGACAGACGGGUGGUGUUGUUCCCUGAACGGGAAAUGAACUCAGGCUGCAGCAGUGAGAGCGCACCCAUCUUAACCACUAGAUACAAUGGCUGCUAUCUAUAUCUGUAUCUACAUCUCUAUCUCAUAUUAGCUCUGUUUCUCUGGAGAACCCUGACUAAGACAAUCCCCAUAUGAAAAAUAAAGCCACUUAAAAACAGAGAGACUAGCUGGCCUCUGGUCAGCACAUGACUGGAGAAGCAGGAUUCAGACCUUCUGGCUCAUUUCCAGGGCUCCUCUGAUUACACAUGGGAGGUGAGGAACGCUCCACCACAGCAUCACCUGUGCAUACAGAGUUCAGCACAGUUCUCAUGGAUGGACUCACUGGCUGACCACAUACAGAGUGUU
rnacentral:lncRNA from 1 species